GAAAACGAGAGAAAAAAAUGGCGUUAAUACUAACGGAAGAUAAGGAAGCCGGAGACGGCGCCGGCGAGCGAAGAGUAGACGAAACGACGAAUGCCUAAAUCGAGGCACGCAUCCCAUUUCCAGGUAUCUCCGCUUUGCCUUCGUUCGCCAUUUCAGAUUAUCGAUCAGAAAUUUUCCACUAAUUUCUUUUGUUCAAUUUCGAGGGUUUCUUCCUCGUGGUCG
rnacentral:lncRNA from 1 species